AAGUUUCAACAACGGAUCUCUUGGCUCUCGCAUCGAUGAAGAACGCAGCGAAAUGCGAUAAGUAAUGUGAAUUGCCGAAUUCAGUGAAUCAUCGAAUCUUUGAACGCACCUUGGGCUCCUUGGUAUUCCUCGGAGCAUGCCUGUUUGAGUAUCC
rnacentral:rRNA from 1 species